rnacentral:rRNA from 1 species
AACGAACGCUGGCGGCAUGCCUAACACAUGCAAGUCGAACGAUCCCUUCGGGGAUAGUGGCGCACGGGUGCGUAACGCGUGGGAAUCUGCCCUUGGCUUCGGAAUAACAGUUAGAAAUGACUGCUAAUACCGGAUGAUGUCUUCGGACCAAAGAUUUAUCGGCCAGGGAUGAGCCCGCGUAGGAUUAGGUAGUUGGUGGGGUAAAGGCCUACCAAGCCGACGAUCCUUAGCUGGUCUGAGAGGAUGAUCAGCCACACUGGGACUGAGACACGGCCCAGACUACUACGGGAGGCAGCAGUAGGGAAUAUUGGGCAAUGGACGCAAGUCUGAUCCAGCAAUGCCGCGUGAGUGAUGAAGGCCUUAGGGUUGUAAAGCUCUUUUACCAGGGAUGAUAAUGACAGUACCUGGAGAAUAAGCGCCGGCUAACUCCGUGCCAGCCGCCGCGGAAAGAC